UACGUAGGGUGCGAGCGUUGUCCGGAAUUAUUGGGCGUAAAGAGCUCGUAGGUGGUUUGUCGCGUCUGCCGUGAAAGCCCGGGGCUUAACUCCGGGUCUGCGGUCGAUACGGGCAGGCUCGAGUUCGGUAGGGAGACUGGAAUUCCUGGUGUAGCGGUGAAAUGCGCAGAUAUCAGGAGGAACACCGGUGGCGAAGGCGGGUCUCCUGGGCCGAUACUGACGCUGAGGAGCGAAAGCGUGGGAGCGAACAGG
rnacentral:rRNA from 1 species